GCCUGGGGGGGAAACCCACGACCAGUGCAACAGAGAGCAAACCGCCGAUGGCCCGCGCAAGCGGGAUCAGGUAAGGGUGAAAGGGUGCGGUAAGAGCGCACCGCGCGGCUGGUAACAGUCCGUGGCACGGUAAACUCCACCCGGAGCAAGGCCAAAUAGGGGUUCAUAAGGUACGGCCCGUACUGAACCCGGGUAGGCUGCUUGAGCCAGUGAGCGAUUGCUGGCCUAGAUGAAUGACUGUCCACGACAGAACCCGGCUUAUCGGUCAGUUUCACCU
rnacentral:RNase_P_RNA from 1 species